AUCUUGAAGAACACCAGUUACGGAAAAGGUAACUGUCUUUUCUUCUUUGAGUUCUUGUUCAUGUCCAUUCCAUAUUAGGUGACUGCCAAGCAGUACCCCUGGAGGAGGGUGGAAGUUCACUGACAUGUAGAUUACAACAUAGCUCUGCCAAAACAGUGUCGUCCCUGGCCUGCUGAGUGAUGGCACAAUGAGUGGUAAAUGUGUGAACAGAGGACCACGUUACAGCUCUACAGAUGUCCUGGAUAGGGAUGUGCACCAGGAAGGCCGACAAAGACGCCUGCGCUCUCACUGAGUGGGCUCUGACAAUCGGCGGCGGAACCCCUCGUCCACUUGACCAGGGCCCUGCUGAUGAGCGGAAUCGGAGGGAACGUGUAGGGGCAGGCUCCCUGACCACGACAGGAGGAAGGCGUCUGAGAGGGAACCAUUGCUCAGACCUUGACGAGAAAAAAACCAGUGGCAUUUCCUGUUCUGUCUGGUAGCGAACAGGUCCACUUGGGGAGUUCCCCACCUUUGGAAGAUCAUGCAGGCUACCUCUGGAUGGAGCGACCACUUGUGUUGAGGGGAGAAGCCCUGCUGAGCUGGUCUGCCGGCAUAAUUCUGAUGCUGGGAAGGUGACAAGCUUCCAGGUGGAUCUCAUGGCUGAUGCAGAAGUCCCAUAGACAGAGGGCCUCCUGACAGAGAGCUGAUGAGCACAGUCCCCCUUGUCUGUUGAUGUAGAACAUUGAGGCUGUGUUGUCUGUCAGGACUCGUACCAACUUGCUCAACAGGUGGGGCAAGACUCUGCAUGUCAGCUGGACUGCUCAGAGCUCUUUGAUGUUUAUGUGUAAGCAUGCUUCAUCCAGGGACCACAUCCCGAGUCUGGAGGACACCGAUAUGUGCCCCCCCGCUGAGGUCCGAGGCAUCUGACACCAAUUUGAUGGAGUCGGGAGGGUUGUCAAACAGAAUGCCUUCCAGGACUGAUCUGUGGUUGGUCCACCACCUCAGCGAGUAGACCCAGAGAGGGCACAUAGUGAAGCUCCGCAACAUCCCUUUGGACUUGAGACCUAGAGCUGCCCUUGACGAGCCAGUCAUCGAGGUACGGGUAGAUCUGGAUACCUCGGUGCCUGAGGAUCAGUCUAUCUAUCCAUCCACAUCAACAGCUCCCUCACAUUCAGAAACAAACUAGCAGUACCUCUAGUACAGUGUUGCAGAAGGGAAGAACAACAGAGGAUAUAGCAAGAGCCUGGAAAACUAUUUCACCUGUUUGAAGUUGCCAUUUUUCCUCUGCUCCCAGUCCAUCAUGUCAUGAAAGAUGGGGAUCAUGAUGUUGCGGACCUCUGUCUGUGGGACCAGUGUGACACCAAGAAAGGGGCCAAUCAUUCCCGGGAUAAAGUGAAUUUUAUGUUCACCUGGGC